rnacentral:rRNA from 1 species
UACGAAGGGGGCUAGCGUUGCUCGGAAUUACUGGGCGUAAAGGGCGCGUAGGCGGACGACUAAGUCGGGGGUGAAAGCCCGGGGCUCAACCUCGGAAUUGCCCUCGAUACUGGUCAUCUUGAGUACGGGAGAGGUGUGUGGAACUCCGAGUGUAGAGGUGAAAUUCGUAGAUAUUCGCAAGAACACCGGUGGCGAAGGCGGCCAACUGGACCAUUACUGACGCUGAGGCGCGAAAGCGUGGGGAGCAAACAGG